rnacentral:lncRNA from 1 species
GUGUGAACCAUCGAUGUUUACAGCAAUAUCAAAGAAUAAGAUGAUGAUGGUAGAAAGACUUAUGGGCGUCAUGUGGCAAAUAUUACAUGCAUAUCGGACUAUGAGUUGUCAAUUUGUAUGAAAAGAUUACCAAUACAACCAUAUUAUUGAGAAGGAAUGUUUACAUGCUAUACCGUCUCGUACUAGUAUUACAGGGUUCUUGUGGCGUUCAC